GCUCAGAACGUACGCUGUCGGCACGCCUUAUACAUGCAAGUCGAACGAAGUAGCAAUACUUAGUGGCAGACGGGUGAGUAACAUGUGGGUAUCUACCCUUUGGCCUGGAAUAACACGAGGAAACUUGUGCUAAUACCGGAUAAGUCUUUACGGAGAAAGCUUUAUGCACCAUUGGAUGAGCCCGCACUUGAUUAGUUUGUUGGUAGGGUAAUGGCCUACCAAGACAAUGAUCAAUAGCUGAUUUGAGAGGAUGAUCAGCCACAUUGGGACUGAGACACGGCCCAAACUCCUACGGGAGGCAGCAGUGGGGAAUCUUGCACAAUGGGGGAAACCCUGAUGCAGCGAUGCCGCGUGAGUGAAGAAGGCCUUUGGGUUGUAAAGCUCUUUCGUCGGGGAAGAAAAUGACUGUACCCGAAUAAGAAGGUCCGGCUAACUUCGUGCCAGCAGCCGCGGUAAUACGAAGGGACCUAGCGUAGUUCGGAAUUACUGGGCUUAAAGAGUUCGUAGGUGGUUGAAAAAGUUGGUGGUGAAAUCCCAGAGCUUAACUCUGGAACUGCCAUCAAAACUUUUUAGCUAGAGUAUGAUAGAGGAAAGCAGAAUUUCUAGUGUAGAGGUGAAAUUCGUAGAUAUUAGAAAGAAUACCAAUUGCGAAGGCAGCUUUCUGGAUCAUUACUGACGCUGAGGAACGAAAGCAUGGGUAGCGAAGAGGAGUAGAUACCCUCGUAGUCCAUGCCGUAAACGAUGUGUGUUAGACGUUGGAAAUUUAUUUUCAGUGUCGCAGUGAAAACAAUAAACACACCGCCUGGGGAGUACGACCGCAAGGUUAAAACUCAAAUGAAUUGACGGGGACCCGCACAAGUAGUGGAGCAUGUGGUUUAAUUCGAAGAUACGCGCAGAACCUUACCAACACUUGACAUGUUCGUCGCGAGCCUAAGAGAUUAGGCUUUUCAGUUCGGCUGGACGAAACACAGGUUCUGCA
rnacentral:rRNA from 1 species